GGGGUAGAGAGACACAGGGAGGUGAUGGUGCUCUGCGUGCCUUCACCACGCACCUGGCAGUCCCUCCCGGGCAGGGCAAAGCCACCAGAACUGAACGUUUAUGGGCUGAUCCCUGCAGGAACCGUUCACCCCAGCAGAAAGUCCCUUUGCUGAGGUCACGGCACUCCCCUUGAGGAGCCGGCAGCAGCUGAGGGUUGCUUCUUUUUGCUGGUGUGAUUUACAUCCAUAGGAGCUGCCCCUGGAAGGUUUUUCAAUGUAAAGAAGAAUAGAGGGAGGGCUGAAAAUGGAGGUGAACCCAGGGGAUGUGGGGGAAGCAGCUGAGGGUAAUGAUGAGUGCUGAUGGGGAUGGGAUGGGGAGGGCAUUUCUGGCACAUUGGGAGCAGCUGCUGGGGGCUGGCAGUGCCCCCUGCCCUGAGACCUGCAGCAGCACGGUGCUGAAGUAGCUGUGGUUCCUGAGGUCUGUGUGGUCCAGGCUCACUCUGUAGGAGAGAGGGGGAGAAAUCAGCUGCUCCUCGAGGAGAUCCGUCUCCAUCGCUCGUCCGGCUGCAUCCCUUCAUAAAUCUUCCCCAAAAAAACAUCAGCACCUUCUCAGGCUGCCAUCUGUUUAUUUGGUUGGACUUGGAACUUGCUGAAAUGUCUUUCGAUGGAUGAAGCAACGGAGAGUAGAAGAACAGAGCCUGGCAGGCUGCUUGCUGUGCCAGGGAACCACCAAGCUUCCUGGUACCCCGUGUUGGCUGAGAGGCAAUGAGGUUAAGGAAAGCAUAACUUCCAUCAGGAAUUCUUGUAAAGUGUGCCCGUUGUGGGGCCAUCAUUUGGAGUUUUUGGAGACCCUUCCCUUGCCCGUGGGCAUCUUGGGCUGAGCAUUUUGGAACGAAGCUGCUCUCUCUGAUGGCACAAAGGGCAAAACAAAACAGAUCAUUUCCUCGGUUUAAUGUGAGCCAAUUAUGGCUCAUGGGCUGUUAACUUCAUCACCGCUCCUUCCAAGAAAGACGUUGGGUAAAAUGAACCAGCGCGGCUCCGCGUGCGCCCAGCGCAGCCUCAGCCCCGGCCAUUUAUCCCCACGGAUGGAAAAAAGCUAAAGCCUACGUCGCACAAAUGCCCUCUAAAAAAAUCUCCUGGAUGGAAUCUGGAGAUCUGAAGACAUAUUUCUGCUCUCCUGGCCACCUAUGAACAGGAUGAUGGCGUUACAGCUGCCUGCGCAUCCUUGGGUGGAUCUUCAGUGUUCCUGAGCAGAUUUCACCUGUACUAUUGGUACAUAAUUAAUGUAAACCAAAUGCUUUCUGCACAGCUACUGGCAUCCUGAACCCAUGUUAUGUGUGGCCUUCCCUUUAGCCCGGACAGAGACAGCAAAAUGCUGAGUGCUAUCCCAGACCUUCCUGGGCAGAGAGCAGCAUCCAUUGCACAAGAGGCACCUUCAGUCUGUGCAUUCCCUGCUGGGAUGGGGCUGUGCAGUGCUGGUUGAACUGGUUUAAAUAAAGGUUUUGAGC
rnacentral:lncRNA from 7 species